AGCCUGUAGAAUUGUACUACCCGUAGGUACUGAGACUCUUUCCACUUCAAUUAACCUAAUGCAGGUUGUCCUUCACAGGCGUGCCCAGAGGCUAAGCUAAUCUAGACCCUGCCCAGGUGAUUGGUCAUCACAGCUCUCUUCACCAUUGGCUUGACUGGGUCCACAGCUCUGCCUCCCUCCACAGACCAGGACUGCUAUUAACAUCGGUUCUCCCAUCUCUGUCCUCAUCUAACCCAAAGCUUCCUGUUCCAGAAGGCAGCACAAGAAAGAGCUGGGGGGCGCUGGGGGCUCUGGGGUGUCCACAGUGAGCCCAGUGUCACCAGGAGCCGUGAUUAGCCGAGCUGCUGGCUGUGUAAUUGGCGUGUGCCUGCGUCCCCGGGGUCUGGUGUGUUAACAGCGGGUCCCUGUGCUGCCUCCAUUCUGCAAGAUGGUUCUCCACCAGCCAUUGACAACUGCCUCACACUCAAGGACCCUCACCUUCUGGGCACUGCCUGUCCCUGCACAUGUGGACUCUCUGCUUUUGGAGUAGCUUUCUAGUCCAGAAGCCUUUCCCUCAGCCCUGGUGUGGAUUGCCUCCAGAGCUUGCUCAUGCUAGGCGACCAUAACUGGUCUACAGCAGCAGCCUGUAGAUUAUAGGACAAGUUCUCACCAUGCGGCCCAGCCAGGCUUUGAGCUCUACAUUCUCCUGCUUGAGUCUCCCAACUGCACCACCAUGUCUGGCUAGUCUCUUUUGAAACCUGGCACCUGGAAGGAAUACAACAGAAACUUCAAGCAGAGAGCAGGGAGAAGGUUCGGGGAGCGUCCUCCUCCCCACGGUCUUACUCUUACAGUAUGAUUAUGAUUAUUAUAGCAGCAAGAAAAAUUAAGUCGAGAAGUGAGAAAGAACUUCCAGAAAGCAGAAAGGCUCUAUUUGUCUGCUGAGGCAGAAAUCUAUGCCUGCCCGACCCCUCGAGGAGAUCUAGGGGUGACCAAGCACCCCUUCCCAUCCCCCUCACAGAGCUUUUCCUUUA